UAACCAAUUUCUAUGACGCCCCAACUUCCCGGGGAUCACCCAUCCUAGGACUACUCCCGCCCUAGCAUUCUUAACUCUCUUAACCUCUUAAGCCUAUCCACCACCUAAAAUAUUUAAGUCGGGUUAAGAGUUUUAACCCUAUUAUAUCUUAUAUACAGAACUAUUUGAAAUCUCACAUUCCCCUCCCUUUAAGCCCUAAUGUCCUCAUCAGACUUAGACUCAUAAGUAUCAGACAAUAUGAGACUCAUUUCGCUAGCCUAAACCAAUCUUAUGGGAAUCUGUGCUGCACUCACAAUAGUCAAUAGUCUGAGAGUCUCGCUCGCCCAGCUGUAUAAUUCUAGCUCGGCCGAGACUCAUCGCAUACUUCUGGCUGGUAAUUGACUAUGAUACCAACUGUGACGCAUCAACUUCUCAAGGGGUCACUCAUCCUAGGAUUACUCCCGUACUAGUACGCUUAACUCUUUUAACCUCCUUAGCCUAGCCACCAUUCAAAAUACUUAAGUCAGAUUAAAAAUUUUAGCCCCAUUAUAUCUUAUAUAUAGGACUAUUUGAGAUCUCACACUUUCACUCUUAGGAAUGUUUCUAAAAUAAAAGA
rnacentral:lncRNA from 1 species